GUGCUCCCUUCAGCAACACAUAUGCUAAAAUUGGAAUGAAACAGAGAUUAGCAUGACCUCUGUGAAAGGAUGACACACAAAUUUGUGAAGAAUUCAAUAUUUUU